AUGGGAGUGGUGGGACUGGGAGAACCGGUCGGGCCCAACCCCUGCGGCUCCUCGGGGCUCCGUCGCCGUGGGGCGGAUGCGGCCCAACCUCUGUGCCCAUAUAUAUAUCCCAGUGGGCAUCUCGGGGGGCCUCCGCGCUCCCCUGGGGGGUUCUGUGCCCCCAUAUGGCCCCCCGUGACCCCAUAUAUCCUCUCGUGUCCCCAUAUAUCCCCUCGUGUCCCCAUAUGGCCCCUCGUGUCCCCAUAUGGCCCCCCGUGUCCCCAUAUAUCCCCUCGUGUCCCCAAAAGACCCCUCGUGUCCCCAUAUAUCCCCUCGUGUCCCUAUAAGUCCCCUCGUGUCCCCAUAUGUCCCCUCAUGUCCCCAUAUAUCCCUUUGUGUCCCCAUAUGUCCCCUCAUGUCCCCAAAAGUCCCCUCGUGUCCCCAUAUAUCCCCUCAUGUCCCUAUAAGUCCCCACGUGUCCCCAUAUAUCCCCCCGUGUCCCCAUAUAUCCCCUCAUGUCCCCAUAUGUCCCCUCAUGUCCUCAUAUAUGCCCCCAUGUCCCCAUAUAUCCCCUCGUGUCCCCAUAUAUCCCCUCGUGACCCCAUAUAUUCCCGCGUGUCCCCAUAUAUCCCCUCAUGUCCCUAUAAGUCCCGUCGUGUCCCCAUAUGUCCCCUCGUAUCCCCAUAUAUCCCCUCGUGUCCCCAUAUAUCCCCUCGUGACCCCAUAUAUUCCCGCGUGUCCCCAUAUAUCCCCUCAUGUCCCCAAAAGUCCCUUCGUGACCCCAUAUAUCCCCUCGUGUCCCCAUAUAUCCCCUCGUGUCCCCAAAAGUCCCCUCAUGUCCCCAUAUAUCCUCUCAUGUCCCCAUAUAUCCCCUCGUGUCCCCAUAUGGCCCCUCAUGUCCCCAUAAGUCCCCUCGUGUCCCCAUAUAUCCCCUCAUGUCCCCAUAUGGCCCCCCGUGACCCCAAAAGUCCCCUCGUGUCCACAAAAGUCCCCGCGUGUCCCCAUAUAUCCCUCGUGUCUCAUAUAUCCCCCCAUGUCCCCAUAAGUCCCCUCGUGUCCCCAUAUAUCCCCCCGUGUCCCCAUAUAUGCCCUCAUAUCCCCAAAAGUCCUCUCGUGUCCCCAUAUGGCCCCUCAUGUCCCCAUAUAUCCCCUCAUGUUCCCAUAUAUCCCCUCGUGUCCCCAAAAGACCCCUCGUGUCCCCAUAUGGCCCCUCAUGUCCCCAUAUAUCCCCCCGUGACCCCAAAAGUCCCCUCGUGUCCCUAUAAGUCCCCGUGUGUCCCCAUAUAUCCCCUCAUGUCCCCAAAAGUCCCUUUGUGUCCCCAUAUAUCCCCCGUGUCCCCAUAUAUCCCCUCGUGUCCCCAAAAGUCCCCUCCUGUCCCCAAAAGUCCCUUUGUGUCCCCAUAUAUCCCCUCGUGUCUCCAUAUGUCCCCUCAUGUCCCCAUAAGUCCCCUCAUGUCCUCAUAUGGCCCCUCAUGUCCCCAAAAGUCCCCUUGUGACCCCAUAUAUCCCCUCGUGUCCCCAAAAGUCCCCUCAUGUCCCCAUAUGUCCCCUCAUGUCCCCAUAUAUCCCCUUGUGUCCCCAUAUGGCCCCUCAUGUCCCCAAAAGUCCCUUUGUGUCCCCAUAUAUCCCCUCAUGUCCCCAUAUGUCCCCUCAUGUCCCCAUAUAUUCCCUCGUGUCCCCAUAUAUCCCCAGCAGAUAUGGGAUGGGGUCUCAGCAGAUAUAUGGGAUGGGGUCUCAGCAGAUAUGGGAUGGGGUCUCAGCAGAUAUAUGGGAUGGGGUCUCAGCAGAUAUAUGGGAUGGGGUCUCAGCAGAUAUGGGAUGGGGUCUCAGCAGCAGAUAUGGGAUGGGGUCUCAGCAGAUAUAUGGGAUGGGGUCUCAGCAGAUAUGGGAUGGGAUCUCAGAAGAUAUGGGAUGGGGUCUCAGCAGAUAUGGGAUGGGGUCUCAGCAGAUAUGGGAUGGGGUCUCAGCAGAUAUAUGGGAUGGGGUCUCAGCAGCAGAUAUAUGGGAUGGGGUCUCAGCAGCAGAUAUAUGGGAUGGGGUCUCAGCAGAUAUAUGGGAUGGGGUCUCAGCAGAUAUAUGGGAUGGGGUCUCAGCAGAUAUGGGAUGGGGUCUCAGCAGCAGAUAUAUGGGAUGGGGUCUCAGCAGAUAUAUGGGAUGGGGUCUCAGCAGAUAUAUGGGAUGGGGUCUCAGCAGAUAUGGGAUGGGGUCUCAGCAGCAGAUAUAUGGGAUGGGGUCUCAGCAGAUAUAUGGGAUGGGGUCUCAGCAGCAGAUAUAUGGGAUGGGGUCUCAGCAGAUAUGGGAUGGGGUCUCAGCAGCAGAUAUAUGGGAUGGGGUCUCAGCAGAUAUAUGGGAUGGGGUCUCAGCAGCAGAUAUAUGGGAUGGGGUCUCAGCAGAUAUAUGGGAUGGGGUCUCAGCAGAUAUAUGGGAUGGGGUCUCAGCAGAUAUAUGGGAUGGGGUCUCAGCAGAUAUAUGGGAUGGGGUCUCAGCAGAUAUAUGGGAUGGGGUCUCAGCAGCAGAUAUAUGGGAUGGGGUCUCAGCAGAUAUAUGGGAUGGGGUCUCAGCAGAUAUAUGGGAUGGGGUCUCAGCAGAUAUAUGGGAUGGGGUCUCAGCAGAUAUGGGAUGGGGUCUCAGCAGAUAUAUGGGAUGGGGUCUCAGCAGAUAUGGGAUGGGGUCUCAGCAGAUAUGGGAUGGGGUCUCAGCAGAUAUAUGGGGGGCAGGAUAUGGGAGGGGUCCAGCAGAAUAUGGGAUGGGGUCUCAGCAGAUAUGGGAUGGGGUCUCAGCAGCAGAUAUAUGGGAUGGGGUCUCAGCAGAUAUAUGGGAUGGGGUCUCAGCAGAUAUAUGGGAUGGGGUCUCAGCAGAUAUAUGGGAUGGGGUCUCAGCAGAUAUAUGGGAUGGGGGUCUCAGCAGAUAUAUGGGAUGGGGUCUCAGCAGCAGAUAUAUGGGAUGGGGUCUCAGCAGAUAUGGGAUGGGUCUCAGCAGAUAUGGGAUGGGGUCUCAGCAGCAGAUAUGGGAUGGGGUCUCAGCAGAUAUGGGAUGGGGUCUCAGCAGAUAUAUGGGAUGGGGUCUCAGCAGCAGAUAUAUGGGAUGGGGUUCAGCAGAUGAUAUGGGAUGGGGUCUCAGCAGAUAUAUGGGAUGGGGUCUCAGCAGAUAUAUGGGAUGGGGUCUCAGCAGCAGAUAUGGAUGGGGUC
rnacentral:lncRNA from 7 species